CUUUGAGCAUGAUUGGUUAAUCUGUCUGUUUAACAGGAAACUGUCCAAUGAGAAUGUGCGCGGCUCUGCGCGCCUAUUUUAAAUUUGAAAAUAUGUCCGUUACUCUCGGUCGGAGCAGCUGCUUUGCGUUGAUUACUCGGUCAGACCUGGAUUAUUUUAUAUCUGCCUGUUGAAUUCUUACAUUUUGAGCGAAUUUUAGUUUGAUAUGACAAUGAAGAUCAAAAGCUGGAAUGUGAACAGAGGAAGGGGUCGUACGUGGUCUGUAAAAACUGGCGAUAUCAGAUCAAGCUUUGUAAUAAGAUUUUUAUCGGGGGAGAACACCCAACAGAAAGACCCAUGAUUCACCAACUGGCGCACUGAAAGGGGAGAUUCAUGUCACCUUCAUCAGUCCUUUCUUUAAUCACUGGACACCAUUAAGGGAAAGACCCUCAGACGUGUCAUAAUAGGAUAAAUGCGGCUGCAGGUAAAAUUAUUUGAUGGGGUUAGGGUUAUUUAAUUUUGGUGUACCAAUUGGCUUUUUUUUGUGUGCUUCCCUUGCUAUGAUACACAUUUCUGAUGGGAUUGCCAUGCUUUAAGUGUAUGUUUACAUUUUUAAUCAUGUAAUAACUA